rnacentral:rRNA from 1 species
GAGUUUGAUCGUGGCUCAGAAUAGAACGCUGGCGGCAUGCCUAACACAUGCAAGUCGAACCGAGACCUUCGGGUCUAGUGGCGCACGGGUAGCGUAACGCGUGGGAAUCUGCCCUUGGGUUCGGAAUAACUCGCCGAAAGGCGUGCUAAUACCGGAUGAUGUCGUAAGACCAAAGAUUUAUCGCCCAGGGAUGAGCCCGCGUAGGAUUAGCUAGUUGGUGUGGUAAAAGGCGCACCAAGGCGACGAUCCUUAGCUGGUCUGAGAGGAUGAUCAGCCACACUGGGACUGAGACACGGCCCAGACUCCUACGGGAGGCAGCAGUGGGGAAUAUUGGACAAUGGGCGAAAGCCUGAUCCAGCAAUGCCGCGUGAGUGAUGAAGGCCUUAGGGUUGUAAAGCUCUUUUUACCCGGGAUGAUAAUGACAGUACCGGGAGAAUAAAGCUCCGGCUAACUCCGUGCCAGCCGCCGCGGUAAC